rnacentral:lncRNA from 1 species
GAUUCCCGAAGACUCCCAAAGAGUCGCAGAGACUCGCUAAGACUUCUAAGGGAUACCUCUUAGCACUUAUAAGAAGACUAUAUUAAGCCUCAGACUACUUUGUUCAUAGUAAGUUUAUUGUCACGGAUCCAACUCCGUUCCAGGCUAACACUCCAAAGUGGGCGAAAGCGGUGAGGUUUCAAGACACCAAUGAAUACCCGGGGGAUCUUUGUUCUGAGUUUCACGUCCUGGGAAU